rnacentral:rRNA from 1 species
GGACUACCCGGGUUUCUAAUCCCGUUUGCUCCCCUGGCUUUCGCGCCUCAGCGUCAGAAGAGGUCCAGCACGUCGCUUUCGCCACCGGCGUUCCUUCCGAUAUCAACGCAUUUCACCGCUCCACCGGAAGUUCCACAUGCCCCUACCUCCCUCCAGACUCCCAGUAUCCAGGGCUAUUUUCCGGUUGAGCCGAAAGAUUUCACCCCGGACUUGAGAAUCCGCCUACGCGCCCUUUAAGCCCAGUGAUUCCGAACAACGUUUGCACGGUUCGUCUUACCGCGGCUGCUGGCAC